ensembl:snRNA U6 U6 spliceosomal RNA
AUGCUCGCUUCGGCAGCACAUACACCAAAACUGGAAUAAUACAGAGACGAUUAGCAUGGUCUCUGAGUAAGAUGACACACACAUUCAUGAAGCUUCCCAUACUUUG